CUGACUGCUAUCGGAUUGAUACUAAGCCAUGCGAGUCAUUGUAGUAAUACAAGGCAGACGGCUCAGUAACGCGUAGUCACCUAACCUAUGGACGGGAAUAACCUCGGGAAACUGAGUAUAAUGCCCGAUAGAACAUUAUGCCUGGAAUGGUUUAUGUUCCAAAUGAUUUAUCGCCGUAGGAUGGGACUGCGGCCUAUCAGUUUGUUGGUGAGGUAAUGGCCCACCAAGACUAUUACAGGUACGGGCUCUGAGAGGAGUAGCCCGGAGAUGGGUACUGAGACACGGACCCAGGCCCUAUGGGGCGCAGCAGGCGAGAAAACUUUGCAAUGUGCGAAAGCACGACAAGGUUAAUCCGAGUGGUUUCUGCUAAAGGAACCUUUUGUCGGUCCUAGAAACACCGAUGAAUAAGGGGUGGGCAAGUUCUGGUGUCAGCCGCCGCGGUAAAACCAGCACCUCAAGUGGUCAGGAUGAUUAUUGGGCCUAAAGCAUCCGUAGCCGGCUCUGUAAGUUUUCGGUUAAAUCUGUACGCUCAACGUACAGGCUGCCGGGAAUACUGCAGAGCUAGGGAGUGGGAGAGGUAGACGGUACUCGGUAGGAAGGGGUAAAAUCCUUUGAUCUAUUGAUGACCACCUGUGGCGAAGGCGGUCUACCAGAACGCGUCCGACGGUGAGGGAUGAAAGCUGGGGGAGCAAACCGGGAUUAGAUACCCCGGGGUAGUCCCAGCUGUAAACUAUGCAAACUCAGUGAUGCAUUGGCUUGUGGCUAAUGCAGUGCUGCAGGGAAAGCCG
rnacentral:rRNA from 1 species